GCUCCCCUGCUGACGAGCGGCGGACGGGUGAGUAAUGCAUAGGAAUCUGCCCAGUAGUGGGGGAUAGCCCGGGGAAACCCGGAUUAAUACCGCAUACGCCCUUUGGGGGAAAGCAGGGGAUCUUCGGACCUUGCGCUAUUGGAUGAGCCUAUGUCGGAUUAGCUAGUUGGUGGGGUAAAGGCCUACCAAGGCGACGAUCCGUAGCUGGUCUGAGAGGAUGAUCAGCCACAUCGGGACUGAGACACGGCCCGAACUCCUACGGGAGGCAGCAGUGGGGAAUAUUGGACAAUGGGGGCAACCCUGAUCCAGCCAUGCCGCGUGUGUGAAGAAGGCUUUCGGGUUGUAAAGCACUUUCAGUGAGGAGGAAAACCUUCUGGUUAAUACCCAUGAGGCUUGACGUUACUCACAGAAGAAGCACCGGCUAACUCCGUGCCAGCAGCCGCGGUAAUACGGAGGGUGCAAGCGUUAAUCGGAAUUACUGGGCGUAAAGCGCGCGUAGGUGGUUUGAUAAGCGAGAUGUGAAAGCCCCGGGCUUAACCUGGGAACGGCAUUUCGAACUGUCAGGCUAGAGUGUGGUAGAGGGUAGUGGAAUUUCCUGUGUAGCGGUGAAAUGCGUAGAUAUAGGAAGGGAACACCAGUGG
rnacentral:rRNA from 1 species